CACCUUAAUGAUAUUAAUAGACCACGACUGCAAGGCAACACUAUUAACUAAUAUGCAGCACGUCAACAUCAACAAUAAUCAUCAAAUAUAAUCAUUACAACUUCAUAUCAACGUCCUUCAAAAUUUAUAAAUCUUCUCACAUUAAUCAUCAACUUAAAUCAUAUUCAUGACAACAGCAAGGCAGCAUCAUUUAAACAUAUACAACAAGUAACCACCGAUAAUAUUCUUCAUAUGUAAAAAAUACAACUUCAUAUCAACAACUUUCACAAUAUAUAAAUCUUUUUCAUUAAUCAUCAACUUUAAACAACAAUAUUAAAUCAUCUUAGUCAUCCUCUCUGAACCUCAUUACAAUCAUUAAAGCUUCAUUCCUACCCCAAAGGUCAGUUCAUAACAUCACGUGCGACAAAAGAUCGCAAGAAACCUAAACAAGGUUGUCUGCCAUGCUCUUCUUCAAUCUUUGAAUAAAUCAAGAUGUCAUCAAUAAACACAACCACAAAUUUAUCAAGAUAAGCAUGGAAAAUUCGGUUCAUAUACUCCAUAAACACAUCAGGAACAUUAGUAACACCGAAAGGCAUCACCUUAUAUUCAUAGUGUCCAUAUCGUGUCCUAAAGGCCGUCUUCUGCAUAUCCUCAUCCUUCACCUUAAUCUGAUGGUAACCUGACCUCAAAUCAAUCUUGCUGAAUACACGAGCACUGUAACGCCCUAGUUGUUAUAUUUAAUUAUUUUGAUAUAUGUGGAGUAUAUAUAUAUAUAUGUGUGUGUGUGAUUUUUGGGUGAUUUAUGUGGUGUAUCAUUGUAUUAUAUAGUUUAUUUAAUAAUAAUUAGAAUAAGUAUGAAAUAAUGAUUAUUUUGGUGUUUGGGGAAUUAAUAGGAGUUAUUAGAAAUUAUGGGGAGUUAAGUGUAAUUAGAAGGGAGUUACUUUUGAGUGGAAAGUUAUACAGAGAAGUUAGAAUCAGUUUCACGUAGAACCAGUUUUGGGAGCAAGCAAGAGAGAACCAAGGAAGAACCAAGAGUUGAAUUUUUGCUGUGCAUUUCUUCUGCAAAUUUAAGGUAAGGGUGAGGUUUACUUUCAAUAGUAUAGAUUGUAAUUCUGAUUUUGAUUUAACAUGUUUCUGGUAGAAAUUGGGGAAUUUGGGAUUAGGUUUUGAUUAUUGAUUUUUGAAUGAAAAAGUGUAGAAACCAUAGAAUUGAAUGGUAAAAGAGUGGUUAAUCAGGUAGGUUAGUGAUGGGUUAACGUUUUAAUGAUAGGGUAAUCAUAUGGUGAUGAUUAUGGAUGAUUUUGGAGAGUUUAGGGUUAAGAGAUGGAGCCAAGGAGGUCCCCAUGGUAGAAAAUUGCAGAAAAUGUGUAAUUUUAAUAUGUCUGAUACUGUCGAAAUCAUGAGGCAAUUCUAGUGAUCAUGAGGCGAUUUUGACAGAAAUUGUGUAAUUUUAGUAUGUCUGAUGCUGUCGAAAUCAUGAGGCGAUUCUAGUGAAUCAUGAGGCGAUUUUGACAGAAAAUGUGUAAUUUUAGUAUGACUGAUGUUGUCUUACCAUAAACCCUAAAAUGCAAUUUUCUUCACUCCAAAUGCUUCCAAACUUCUUCCUAAGUGUAGGGACUUUAUCCUAAACGUAUAGAGAUGUUUUUAGGAAAGAUAUAACGUUGUAUAAGGGUCUAAUGAGUUCAUGAGUGGUCCUUGGGGUAGGGAUGGAAGUUGUCUAUAAGAGUAUAGCCUCUCAAUGUAUCUAAGCUAAUAUAAUUGAUGUUGUUGAUUACUAAUAUCUUUGAGUUGUUGAAUUCUGUUUGAACGUUUUGAAUGGAGCUUGAUGUAUGAACAUGAUUAAGAUAAAUUGUCAUUUUUCUGGAUAGUUGAAUCUCUGUUGAUUGUUGAUUGAUGUUGAGGAAUGAAAUGUAUGUUUUAACUAUGAAUCAUACAUGUUGUUUAAGUGGAGUCACAUGGAGUUUGCAUUGCAUGGUCAGUUGUAUGUAGAUAUACACAAGUAGGUCCAUGGCAUAUGCAUAAAACAGCGGUGAUGACUCAUGUCCUGGAGUACUAGUUGCUCAACAGCGGUGAGGGCUUCGGUCCUGAUGAAUGCUUUAACCAUUCAAAAGCGGUGAGGGCUUCGGUCCUCUUUGGUACAACAUGCAUAUUUGCAUAUUUGAGAAGUCUAAGGUGUUGUUUUAGCAGUGUUGUCAUGUCAUUUGCAUGAGUCGUAGUUGUUGAUUGUAAUUGUUACUUUGAUGAUGAUGAUGUUGUAGGUAAAUAUGUACAUUGUAUACAUACUUGAUGAGUGGAAUCUGAUGAUGUUGUUGUUGCUUGUGAAUUAAUUAUGUAUAAUGGCAAGAUGAUGUAUUUGAUGUUAUAGGGUGUUAGAUUCAAUUGAAGAUUUAAUAUCUAUAUUUAUUGUUGUGAAUCUCACCCCUUCUGCUUGAAAAUGUUGCCCUUCCUAUGGGUAACUUGCAGGUGAUCCUGAGUAGUCGGUGGUGGCUCAAGAGUCGUGUCUAGGGAUCUGAUACGUGGGAUAGGAAUUAUUAUAUUAUAUUAUUGUUGUUUUCCUUUCCAUGUAUCAAAUUUUGGAACUUGUUGAUGUGGCCCUUUGUUGGUCGACUUAUUGUUGUUUAGGCUUAAUGCCAAGAUGUUGUUGGAGACUUAAACCGUUGUUGUUGUUAUUGAAAUGCAAACUUUCCGCUGCAAGAUUUUGAAGUUAUUAAACAUGUUGAAUUAAA
rnacentral:lncRNA from 1 species